UCGCCAGGCCCUGGACUUGAUCCGGACUUAACGAAUCAGGAAACUCAACAUUGAAAUGAAUAUACAGUUUGCCCUUCAUGAAUGACCUCCGAUAUAUGGGCAUUCCUUCAUCAUUGAUCGCCUUGUAAGAAUCUGCGGAAUCACAACAUACAAAGAUGAGUACAAUUCGAUCAUGAUUGUUCAAUUACUGCCAAGAUGGAAAAAAAAAAAUCGAAAAAAAGGACAGAAAAUUGACCAGGCUUCAGGACUUCUCCAGGGUGUGACUUGAUAAGGAGCUGUCUGCCAUCCAAAUGUGUCAGUAUAUACUGGAAGCCACACAGUGCCUCAGUGAGUGACAGCGUGCGCUCGACAAAAAGAUCAUCACCCUUUCUAUUAAAUUUAGGGUGUUCCUUCUGCUGAAGCAC
rnacentral:lncRNA from 1 species